GGAGAGGUGCCUGAGUGGUUGAAAGGGCAUCCCUGGAAAGGAUGUAUGCCGGAAACGGCAUCGAGGGUUCGAACCCCUCUCUCUCCGCCA
rnacentral:tRNA from 1 species